rnacentral:rRNA from 1 species
GAUGAACGCUGGCGGCGUGCUUAACACAUGCAAGUCGAACGAUGAAGCCCAGCUUGCUGGGUGGUUUAGUUGCGAACGGGUGAGUAACACGUGAGUAACCUGCCCUUAACUCUGGGAUAAGCCUGGGCAACUGGGUCUAAUACCGGAUAGGAGCGUCCACCGCAUGGUGGGUGUUGGAGAGAUUUAUCGGUUUUGGAUGGACUCGCGGCGUAUCAGCUUGUUGGUGAGGUAAUGGCUCACCAAGGCCACGACGGGUAGCCGGCCUGAGAGGGUGACCGGCCACAAUGGGACUGCGGCACGGCCCAGACUCCUACGGGCGGCAGCGGUGGGGAAUAUUGCACAAUGGGCGCAAGCCUGAUGCAGCGACGCCGCGUGAGGGAUAACGGCCUUCGGGGUGUAAACCUCUUUCAGUAGGGAAGAAGCGAAAGUGACGGUACCUGCAGAAGAAGCACCGGCUAACUACGUG